GACGAACGCUGGCGGCGUGCUUAACACAUGCAAGUCGAACGGAAAGGCCCUGCUUUUGUGGGGUGCUCGAGUGGCGAACGGGUGAGUAACACGUGAGUAACCUGCCCUUGACUUUGGGAUAACUUCAGGAAACUGGGGCUAAUACCGGAUAGGAGCUCCUGCUGCAUGGUGGGGGUUGGAAAGUUUCGGCGGUUGGGGAUGGACUCGCGGCUUAUCAGCUUGUUGGUGGGGUAGUGGCUUACCAAGGCUUUGACGGGUAGCCGGCCUGAGAGGGUGACCGGCCACAUUGGGACUGAGAUACGGCCCAGACGCCUACGGGAGGCAGAAGUGGGGAAUAUUGCACAAUGGGCGGAAGCCUGAUGCAGCAACGCCGCGUGCGGGAUGACGGCCUUCGGGUUGUAAACCGCUUUCGCAUGUGACGAAGCGUGAGUGACGGUAAUGGGUAAAGAAGCACCGGCUAACUACGUG
rnacentral:rRNA from 1 species